CUCAACUGCUGGCAUAUUUCUGGUGUUCCUGAGGUAGGGGCUAAUGUGACAGCUAGCCCUAGGCCAGUAAGCAAGGUCUCACUCACUGUGUGGUUAUUUUUAUAGUGGAAAUUCCUUUCAAAUUGUAUGGACAACCUGACUGGCUCAGUUUUCAAAUCUCACCUGAAGAAGGCAAGCUCUCAGUUACACUGGGAAGAUAUUUUAUGGAUAUAAACACUAACUGGACUGACCUGGUCAAAGUAAAGUCAAUACAACAUUGGUCAUGGAAAUAUUGUCAAAACAAUAGACUGAAUUGUGUCGGCAAGGAAAUUAAUCUGGAAAUAAUAAAUAGUUCUGCCAACCAGGCCAGCCUGGCUUCCAUAUUGAUAGCCCCUAUGGCUAUAAUCUAUUCUUGCUUAUUGCAGAAUGCUCCCACAAUGAGUUCAUGCCACUGUUGUUAGUGAACCUCCAAGAAGCAUGUAUUAAUUGUUUCAAAAUUAAUUAAAGACAAAAAUUUGCUUGAUUUUGUAUAUUAUUUAUUUUAAUUCAACUUGCAUGGUUAAAGAAUAAUUAUCCAAUUGGGACGUUCCAGAAAAGAUCCACACUCCCCCCACCGAGGAAAUUUCUGACGUCCGAAGGGGGAGGGGAGAAAAAAUUGUUUCUGAUAAUAGUAAAUGUACGUAAUUUCCUCUGUGGGGGUGGUAUGGAUGUUUUCUGGAAUAUGACCCAUUAGCAGUAAAUAAUAUUAAAACCUAACUGUACAAUCAAGUUACAUGUAAUACUUAACAGUAUUAUUAAAAAAAUAAAACUAGAGCUCAUGGGUUAUUCUUUGGCUGUUUGUAGUACAUACAUAUAAAUAACACAUUCCCACAAAAUUAUAGAGAAAAGUAAUUGUUAGUUCUGGCAUGCAGUUAAGUCUGGCAAGAGCUAGUGCACCACUUAACUCUUGCUAUUUGAACAUUCGAAAGAACUUGUAUUAAUUUCUUGUCUACAUGACUUACAUCAGAUUCACCCUAAAUGAGAAAUGUCCAUUAUACAUAUAAAAUAGUGACAGUACCAUAUGAAGACACUGAAGAUGUAUUGGGUCACAGAUCCCAGACUCCAAUUACAAGGAAAUUUACUGCAGAGCAGAGCCCAGACAGUUCAGUUAGACAUUGACAUGUUAACCCAUUGAGCACUGAGUGGCUCUCCAGUUCACAAGUAAAAUUGUCUGGUGUUAGACAGAGUAAAAUAAUAAAGUAGCUAGGGUGCAUUAGGGCACAAUGCAACCUAAUGGUUAAUUAAUAUGGUAUGUCAUUUAUAAGCCCGUCUAAUAUGCCAGGCAAUUUUACUUGUUAAGGGGACAAUCUUGUCCAUUAUAAAUGGAUUAAUUGUAUUUCUUAACUAUCCCAAAGUUUCAUUUUACAUUACAAUAUAUCAAAAAUAAUCUAUGCAGAUAUAAGAGAGGAAGUUCAUAAAUAAU